rnacentral:rRNA from 1 species
AUACGGAGGAUUCGAGCGUUAUCCGGAUUUAUUGGGUUUAAAGGGUGCGCAGGCGGGAGAUUAAGUCGGCGGUGAAAUUUUGCAGCUCAACUGUAAAAGUGCCUUCGAAACUGGUUUCCUUGAGUGUAGAUGAAGUAGGCGGAAUUUGUGGGGUAGCGGUGAAAUGCAUAGAUAUCACGAGGAACUCCGAUUGCGCAGGCAGCUUACUAAACUACUACUGACGCUCAGGCACGAAGGCGUGGGGAUCAAACAGGAUUAGAUACCCUGGUAGUCCACGCAGUAAACGAUGAUUACUAGCUGUUUGCGAUACAAUGUAAGCGGCUGAGCGAAAGCGUUAAGUAAUCCACCUGGGGAGUACGUUCGCAAGAAUGAAACUCAAAUGAAUUGACGGGG